rnacentral:rRNA from 1 species
GAUGAACGCUGGCGGCGUGCCUAAUACAUGCCAGUCGAACGAAACUUCUUUAUCACCGAGUGCUUGCACUCACCGAUAAAGAGUUGAGUGGCGAACGGGUGAGUAACACGUGGGCAACCUGCCCAAAAGAGGGGGAUAACACUUGGAAACAGGUGCUAAUACCGCAUAACCAUAGUUACCGCAUGGUAACUCUGUAAAAGGUGGCUAUACUACCGCUUUUGGAUGGGCCCGCGGCGCAUUAGCUAGUUGGUAGGGUAAAGGCUUACCAAGGCAAUGAUGCGUAGCCGAAUUGAGAGGUUGAUCGGCCACAUUGGGACUGAGACACGGCCCAAACUCCUACGGGAGGCAGCAGUAGGGAAUCUUCCACAAUGGGCGAAAGCCUGAUGGAGCAACGCCGCGUGGGUGAAGAAGGUCUUCGGAUCGUAAAACCCUGUUGUUAGAGAAGAAAGUGCGUGAGAGUAACUGUUCACGUUUCGACGGUAUCUAACCAGAAAGCCACGGCUAACUACGUG